rnacentral:miRNA from 7 species
UGAAGUGUUUGGGGGAACUC